rnacentral:lncRNA from 1 species
CCCAGUUCGAGCUUCCAGGCCGCUUUGUUUAUCUACUCAAGCCUGACCAAUGGCGGGCACCCCUCCCCCAGCCUCGCUGCCGCCUUGCAGUUUGAUCUCAGACUGCUGUGCUCGCAAUGAGUAAGGCUCAGUGGGCAUGGGACCCUCCAAGCCAUGCGUGGGAUAUGAUCUCCUGUUAUGCCGUUUGUGAAGCCUGUUGGAAAAGUGCAGUAUUAGGGUGGGAGUGACCUGAUUUUCCAGGUGCCGGCUGUCACCCCUUUCUUUGACUAGGAAAGGGAAUUCCCUGACCCUUUGUGCUUCCUGGGUGAGGCGAUGUCUCGCCCUGCUUCGGCUCAUGCACGGUGCGCUGCACCCACUGUCCUGUACCCACUGUCCGUCACUCCCCAGUGAGAUGAACCCGGUACGUCAGUUGGAAAUGCAGAAAUCACCAGUCUUCUGCGUCGCUCAUGCUGGGAGCUGUAGACUGGAGCUGUUCCUAUUCAGCCAUCUUGGCUCCACCCCGUCUUGUAGUAAAUAUCUAAAUUAUCUGUGGCAACAACUUGGUGGGGUCAACUCGAAUGUUUUUGUCGGCUGUUCUUGAAGACUUCUGGGUCUCUACAACCACAUUCUUUGGCUGGUGCCAGUGUUUAAGCACUCUGAAACUGCAUAGCAGCAUGUUUGAAGGUGGCCUGUCAAAUUUGGGAAACUGACGGUGUGACUGAGCUAGUCACAGGGGUCUUCACAGAAAAGGCAGUCGGGGUCCUGGUCAACUGGAGAUUCCAUCUGAAUGUGAAUGGAUUUAAAAGGUGACUGGAACACUUCUUUCUGACCUCAGAGAUGUGAUGGAUGUCCGGGAAGAUUUUCUCAAGGGCUAGAAGUUAAGAACUUUGUUCCUACUGUUUAUCUUUUUCCCUUUCAUAUUCAAGCCACUUAACCAUACUGAGCCUCAACUUUUUCAUUUAUAAAAUGGAAAUCAUUUUAACUUUUCUCUGGAGGACAGCUGUUGCCUGCCCAUCACUAUUUCCUCCUUUUCUGGUGACAACAUCCUACUUUCCUUCAAAGAAUAAUGCCUACCCCAUUAUAAUAACUUUUACACGGGGCUGUCCCAACACAUGCUGCCUUCAAGGCUAGGUGCAUGACACAGGCCUGGCCAAUCAGUGUGUCCAAUCCCUCUGGCCACUGUGAUUGGUCCAGUUACGGGUAUAUGAUGCAGAUCAAUCCAGUAAAACUCAACCUCGUGACUUUUACUGGAACCAUCAGUCAAGACGCCUUCUUUUUCUGUGAGUUUUCCAGGCUAGGAGAAGGAAAGUUAGAGCCCUGGGAUGCCACGUCAUGAGAAAAGCCUGCCAGAGAGCAAAACUAGCACAAAGGAAAGAAAGUAUUCCAAUAAAAGGGUGACGCUGAAAGCUGAAAUGUGAAUUUGUUAAAUCCUCAAAUAGCCAACAGCUUCUAGGACAAGAUCAUACACAGUUAGGACCUCGAUAACAAUUUGUUAGUGGAAUAGAUAAGAACAUUUUAGAUCCUGUUGCUCAAUUCUGAAAUGCUGCUCUGUGUCAUGAAUAUUGGUUUAUUUUCUUUGUAGAGUGAAGUCAUUAAGACUAGAGCUCCAGGCUUCUUCAUCCAACUCCAAGGGUUCCCAGCAACAUGUGAAGUCCUCUAUCUGUCACUAAGAAGCCGUGUGAGUGAAGCAGGCUAUAUACCUUGGUUUCAACAUCUGUGAACAAGGUGUAAUGAUGGUUUUCUCAUCUUUUUUUAGGAUCGUUAUAAGAAUCUGAGACAGUGAGAGGGAAAAGAUUGUUUUCCAUUCAUUAGCUCAGGCUGGGCAUUGGAGGCAUCUCCUCUGAGCACCUGCUAAAACAGCACUGGCAAGUCACUCUUUGGAGCCAUUUCUGGAAAGAGGUUCUAUACAAAUAAAAUUAGAAAAGUCUGAAUUUAGCAUAUGAGAAAUGUUAUGGCCAUUGGUACCUAUCACUCUAAACACCAUUCUGCUUAUUCUUGUCAUGUAGGGGCAUUUGAUUUUUAAUCUAUCCACUUAAAUAUUGGCUGCUUCUAUAGACUUCCCAACCAGCAGUCCUUGUGCAGGCAAAACUCCCAUUUAACUGAAUGAAAGUAUUAAACAUAAAAUAUUGUUAGGAAGAGUCUGAUAUUGUAUUUAUCUUGCUGAUAAUUAUCUUACAUGUUUUAAUUACUCCCAGUAGUGUCCCAAGGCUGAUUAAAGGAAAAAUAUAAUUUACUCAUCGAAAUAAGAUAUUAUACAAGUAUCAAAUGAUAUUGAUAAAUAUUAAACAAUAAACUUUCCUAGAAUUCUUUCCCUAAAAAAUUGGGGACCUUAUACUUCACUAGUUAUAUAUUUCAGAGCAAGCUGGUUUAUAACAGAAUGAUAAAGGUGAUUAGAAUGAAAGAGAGGCCAUUUGGAUUGAUUCAGUUUUGCUACAUUUAUUAUAAUUUACAAUACUUUGCCAUAAAAAUAAAAUAGUUACCCAACCUCAGAUUACUGUCUUUAUAUUGUGGUUGAUUUUAUAAUUGCUGACCUUUAUCCCAUAGAUUUUUCAGGGUUAGUUAUUACUGGUUUUUACCUGAGAGAUUUGGGGGAGUUGUGUUUAUCGCUCAAAUAUCCAAUCUAAAUUUGGUUCUCUUAUAGCAAUGGAUGGAUGACUCACCUCUCAUAGGAAUGAUAGAACUUGGAUCAUCUUGUCAAUCACAGAGCUUGGUGGCCUUCUACAAAUGUUUGUGGAAUGAAUAAGUGAGAGAAUGAGAGAUUAAUAAAGCCAAUACUAUCACCAGUCCAACGAAGAGCUGCAACUGAAAAAAAAGUCUGACAAAAUGAGAAGAAUACACCUUGGCAGCUGCUGGAUCAAGGCAAAUGAGAGACCCAUGGAGCUCACUAAAUCCAACUCUACAGCUUGGAGCUAAGCCUAACUUAGCCAAGUCUAAACCAGUUUGACCUCAGCCAAUUCACAGAUGUUUGAGCCAGAAGUAAGGUGCUUGUUGCUGGAAGCCAGUUAAAUUUUGAGAUCUUUUUGAAAAAUAUAUUGUCAUUGCAGACAUAGAUGCACAUAGUUUUCCACACUGUGGGAAGUCAAAUUAAGCAUGCUUAGACUUUUAAAGCAGAAGCCCAUUAUUAGUGGGGUGGCAAAAAUGUUACAAGUGACAUAGUCCUCCAAUUUCCUUCUUCUAGCCCUCUGCCUAAGAACUAGUGUACUUCAUUUUGAAGUGGAGCCCUAACGGGAGUGUUCAUCUUCUGUCAACAGGGUUAAGCCUCUUGACGCUUACUGGGCACUCACAGUUGUUAGUUCCCUGGAAGACAUGAAAGAGCUUGAUUGGUUCUGUAGUCGUCAGUCAAUAACCAACUGUAACAUACCUACACUUCCAACAAAAUCUUGAUUUGGGAAAUUGAGUGUCUGCUUAUAGUUAAUCCUCUAUUUUUUGACACCUAGUAGGAAAAACAUUUUCAAAAGAGCCAUGACCUGACUCAGUUAAUAUGCAAGGAAAAAUAAGCAGUUCCAAACUUGUCAGUUUAUCCAUCAUCCCUUAUCCAAAAUCCUUCAACUCUCUUGGAAUUAUUUUGUUCUUCAUACUUGCCCAACAAAUAUCUUACUCUUGUCUUGGACUUUAUUUUAUAGUUAUCUCACAUAAGCUCCUUGUGGCUAAGGGCACAUAUUUGGAAUCAGACUACCCUAGUUCAACUCUUGGGUCUACCAUUUAUUAGCUUGUAUUACUUUGGGAAAGAUAAUUAAAUUCUCCAGAUCUAAUUUCCCCCAUUAUAAGAUAAUAAUAGUUAUUACCUGCUAGGAUUGUCUUGAGAAGUAAAUUAGAUAAUUCAUAAGAACCAUUUAACACAGUGCCAGCCACAUAAUGAAGGCAUAGUAAGGGAAAGUUAUUAUGCUGUUGAUAAUACUUGUCUAGGCAGGGGUCUCAUAUUUUUCCCUGUAUCCAUUACUGUACAAUUCAUCUGUCCCAUGACAUUCUAAGAUUGUUUUAGAGUGAGUUGCUUCAGAGUUGAAUAAUUCUAAUAAUAUAUUCUCAUGUUUGGAAACAACUUGGAAUUCCAUUUAGUGUAGACAUCAACAAUGAAAUCGCUAGAGGAUGAGUAAUUUCUACAAUUUUUAUUCAUUAUAGAGAGACCAAUGGGUAUAAUGGUGAAAAGAACUGAGUAGAAGGUCAGGAGGUCAAAGAGACUGAGUUUAAACCCUCACUCUGCUGAGUACUGUUAAUAAUGGUAUGAUCUUAAGAGAACUAAUCUUUAGUUUUUCCCACCUUAAAAACAGAGUUGUCAUGAGUAUUUAAUAAUAGAGGGUAGUAUGUAAACUUCCUGGCAUAUAGCAACUGCUCAACAAAUAGAAGUUAUAGUUUUUUCUUAACUUGCCAAAGAGCCAAGGGAAAAAUGAAGAUUUUGUAGCCAAAGCCAUUUAUCUUUCUCUGUUAUGUGCCUAUCUGUUCCAGAAACAGAAUCAAUUCCUUGAACCUCAUCAAAGGAAGGAUUUGAACAUUUAAAAAAAAAUCAAUCUCUUUGGGUUUGUUAUUGCUUGUUUCCCAUACCUCAGAGACACAAAUACAAACCUUUAUAAUGUCAUCAGGAAGAAGAGGAGUCAAACACUCCUUAACUCAAUAAUUGCAAUGUUAUUAUUUUGCAAGGAAUAGAGUCAAAAUUCCAUUCACAUGAGGACUGUAACUUCUUCAUUACUCCUUGAGGCACGAUGUCCUUGAUUUUAAGUAGCUCAUGUAGAAACUAGUUGUAAGUCUUUAGCGGAGAGACUGUACUGGAAUUAUAGGAUCUACUUAGGGGUUUGAGCUUCCCCACCCACUUAGAGUGACAGUUCACACCUAUAAAAACACAAAAGUCCGGGGGUUUAUUAAACAUUAGGAGAUCCAAAGAGCCAAGACUUCUACCUGUAAAAGUGGUGCUUCCUAAGCAGAAGAAAUGGAAUUUCUCAGAGAAUACAGCUUGGCUUGACCAAUGGACUGUACAAGGAAGAUUAGGAGGUAAUUACUGGGGUAAAAGAGAAAUGGUUGCAUCUUUCUGGAACACUCUAAUAAAACUGAAAGUUUUUCCUGAUUUCUUCUUUUAUUUGAUACAAGGGUCAAAUUUGAUACAUAAAGUCAUAAUGUCCCACAUGUACUUCUCAGGAACAUCUGUUUAGUCCUACUACAAAACUUGGGGAACAUGGUUUCCUAAUGUGGUACCAGUCGUCUCUUCAUGGAUGACUUCAGGAAGAAAUUCUGACUGGCAGACUCCACAAGUAUAAGACAAUAAGAGGCCAAUUUCUUUAUUCUUCUCCUCUUCUCCGCUUGUCCCCCCACCUCAUUAGCUUUGGGAGAAUAACACAGUGUGGAACAGAAAAAUAAGGAGCCUUGUUGUACUUCAUUGGCCUCAAGAGGUCUCAUCUAUUAAAUAGAUCCAUUAUGUUACUCUCAGAGAAAAUUAUAGUCAAAAAUAUUUCAAGUUUUAGGGCAGUACUGAAUAUAUAAGGGCUCUGUUACUUAAUCUCUGUGCUCUUAUCUUGGGGCGGCAAAGCUCAGUAGGGCUAUCUUGAAAGUAGCCUGAAAUCAAUUGGUCAGAUGAAAUCAAUUGGUCAGGAGGAGCCCAUCAGGAGGAUCAAGGACAUGGGUGACACAGUGAGUGUAAUUAUUAGUCAGGAUAGGUUAGGUUAGGCAUUAGUGGCAAAUUAUCUCCAAAUCUCAGUGGCUUGGUACAAUAAAGGCUUAUUGCUUAUUCAUGCAGCAUGUCUACUGCAGGUCCACAAGGGCUCUGUUCCACUCACAGAUCCAGAUUGUAACAUUCUUUGCCAUCUCAUAGCUACAUGAUCUAAACAUCAGCAGAAGGAAAGUGUCUUGGGUCAGGCUACCUGGAAAACAGAUCAAGAUAAAGAUUUCUGUGCAAAAAGGUUAUUGGGGAGGGAACUCUAAUUGAUAUCUGCCAGGGAUAGUGCAAGAAUGGUUGAGCAGACAAUUGUUGAACUACUUACUAUGUAUGUAGUAACAACAAAGGUCUUGACCAACCCAAAAGGGAGUCCUGGAGCUCAAAUGGUUCUUCACAGUUCUCUCACCUUAAGGCAAGGGACCUGGGCCUUUAUUAUCCCUUAUCAACCAGUCAUUUGAUUAGCUUGACCCCAGAGAGAGGUUAUGACCUUGAGUAAAGUGGCUCUCCUCUACUGAGGAUAAUUCCAGGAGAGCAACUCAGCUGAGAGCUGUCAGCAAUGGGAGGAAUCAGAGUCUCAGUCCUGAAGAGCAGAUCUGGGCAGCAUAUCAUAGCAUCCACCACAAGGGGGAAAGUGCGUGCACUUUUCAUUGCCUCCACCUGGGAGUGACAUAUGCCAUUUUUUGCUGUCAUUUCAAUGACCAAAAGGAGUCACAUGAUUCUAAUUGGAAGGAACCUGGG